rnacentral:misc_RNA from 1 species
UUUCCGUAGGUGAACCUGCGGAAGGAUCAUUAUCGUACAAAAUGUGUGAGGCAUGCAAGGGUUGUCGCUGGCUUUCAACGUUGUUGCACGCCGGAGCGUGUCCUCUCACAUAACACAAUCCAUCUCACCCUUUGUGCACCACCGCGUGGGCACCCUUUGGGAUCGGACCGAUCUCUUAGGGGACUCGCGUUUUCACACAACACCCUUUUAAAAAGUGUAGAAUGACCUCAUUUAUGCGAUCAAUACAACUUUCAACAACGGAUCUCUUGGCUCUC